GAUGAAGAACGUAGCGAAAUGCGAUAAGUAAUGUGAAUUGCAGAAUUCAGUGAAUCAUCGAAUCUUUGAACGCACAUUGCGCCCGCCAGUAUUCUGGCGGGCAUGCCUGUCCGAGCGUCAUUUCAACCCUCGAACCCCUCCGGGGGGUCGGCGUUGGGGAUCGGCCCCUCACCGGGCCGCCCCCGAAAUCCAGUGGCGGUCUCGCCUCAGCCUCUCCUGCGCAGUAGUUUGCACACUCGCACCGGGAGCGCGGCGCGGCCACAGCCGUAAAACACCCCAAACUCUGAAAUGUUGACCUCGGAUCAGGUAGGAAUACCCGCUGAACUUAAGCAUAUCAAUAAGCGGAGGA
rnacentral:misc_RNA from 1 species